UACGUAGGGUGCAAGCGUUAUCUGGAAUUAUUGGGCGUAAAGAGCUCGUAGGCGGUUUGUCGCGUCUGCUGUGAAAACUGGAGGCUCAACCUCCAGCCUGCAGUGGGUACGGGCAAACUAGAGUGCGGUAGGGGAGAUUGGAAUUCCUGGUGUAGCGGUGGAAUGCGCAGAUAUCAGGAGGAACACCGAUGGCGAAGGCAGAUCUCUGGGCCGUAACUGACGCUGAGGAGCGAAAGCAUGGGGAGCGAACAGG
rnacentral:rRNA from 1 species